UACGUAGGGUGCGAGCGUUAAUCGGAAUUACUGGGCGUAAAGUGUGCGCAGGCGGCCGAGCAAGUCGAGUGUGAAAGCCCCGAGCUUAACUUGGGAAUUGCGCUCGAAACUACUUGGCUGGAGUGUGGCAGAGGAAGGUGGAAUUCCAGGUGUAGCGGUGAAAUGCGUAGAUAUCUGGAGGAACACCGGUGGCGAAGGCGGCAUCCUGGACCGACACUGACGCUGAGGAGCGAAAGCCAGGGGAGCAAACGGG
rnacentral:rRNA from 1 species